rnacentral:rRNA from 1 species
AUUGAACGCUGGCGGCAUGCCUUACACAUGCAAGUCGAACGGCAGCACGGGUGCUUGCACCUGGUGGCGAGUGGCGAACGGGUGAGUAAUACAUCGGAACGUACCGUAUCGUGGGGGAUAACAAAUUGAAAAAUUUGCUAAUACCGCAUAAUACUCUGAGGAGGAAAGCGGGGGAUUCGUAAGUACCUCGUGCGAUUAGAGCGGCCGAUGGCUGAUUAGCUAGUUGGUGAGGUAAAGGCCCACCAAGGCAACGAUCAGUAGCAGGUCUGAGAGGAUGAUCUGCCACACUGGAACUGAGAAACGGUCCAGACUCCUACGGGAGGCAGCAGUGGGGAAUUUUGGACAAUGGACGAAAGUCUGAUCCAGCAAUGCCGCGUGAGUGAAGAAGGCCUUCGGGUUGUAAAGCUCUUUUGUCAGUGAAGAAAACUUUAGUAAUAACACUAUUAAAGCAUGACGGUAACUGAAGAAUAAGGACCGGCUAACUACGUGCCAGCCGCCGCCGUAAUAC